AAACAGAUCAUCCGCCGCCAGGGAUAUAACAGGAAUCUCCUUGUUACCAGCUGGAUAUGAUGAAACCUUCGGCCCGACCGGCAUACCAGCAGCAGGAGCAAGGUUUGGGUGGUCGGGGCGAUUAACAACCGGUUUGGUUUUAUGUUUCCGGGUUCGGUUAGCGGGUUUCCUAGUUUGGUAAUUGUUGUAAGAGUUAGGAAGAGAGGUGUGGCGGGGGAUACUAGUGACGGGGAAAGGAAGGAGA
rnacentral:lncRNA from 1 species